GUGGGCCCUGCAGCCAUGCCCGGCCUCUCCUCCUAGAAGGUGGAAUGGAGGAGCCUUUUCUGCACACCACAGCUGGGGGAAGGGAGGGAUCAGAAACACCCAGGAGGUGUGGGACCUCCCUCCCCUGAAGUCUGAGGGGCUGAGAGGAUGCUUGAGGCCCAUGAGGUCCUUCUCAGGAGCGCCAAAUGCAGAACCAAAUGGGUGGGAGACUGUGGCCGCUCUCCUGGUCUCCUGCCCACACCUCUGCUCCAUCAGCACCCACGGCAAACUCCAUCAACCUUCAGAAAUCUCAGUGAUGUCACCAGCGGCAAAUGGAGCUUCUGAUCAAAUGAGGUCCGGAGUGUUACCACAGCGUGUGAAGCAAUCCCAGCUACCCAGCUGUCCACACCAGAGGAAGCCAAGCAUCACCACUAGACACACUGACAGGUCCAACAUGGCUCUGUGGCUCUCCCCACCCAAACAAAAGACAGUAACAAAGAACAAAACACAGCACCUGGAGGAAUCCCUGUGGACCCACUGCUGAACAGGCUAUCACUAUGAAGUCUCUCCAGUGCUUCAAAACCCUGACACUUGGAAAUUCACUUUCCAUGGCGUUCCCCAAAGGAACACAUUUGCUGAGACGCACCUCACAGAGGAAGCAAGAGAAAGAGAAGGGCGUCUGCUCUGGUCCCCCUGUUAUCUAUUUUCCAAACUGCAGCCAGAGUGUGAUUUUUCAAAAGCCUAAGUCAGUCCAUAUCACUCCUCUAUUCAAAACCCUGUCUGACUUCUAACUUCACUCAGAAAAACUCCAAAUCCUCACAAUGGCCUAAAAAGCCCCACCUGCCUACUUCCUCCUGGUGUCCUGGCUGCUCUCUGUCCUCCUGGCCCAGCCCCUUCCCUGCAUUCAUUGCUCUCUCCAGGACACUCCUCCUUGGAGGUCCUCAUGGACACCUCUCACCUCCCUUCAAGUCUGCUCAAUGUCACCUUCUUGGUGAGAUCCCCCUGCCCCCACCUGGACCCUCCCCACCCCCAGGCCCUGGUCUGCCUCUCCUCCAUUGCUCAUCACCGAACACACAGAUGUGUUACUUAUUCAUGAGGUCUGUCUCAGACAUCAGGAUGCCCUUCACAAGGGCAGCUCUGCUCCCAUCGCUGCUGGGUAGGCGCUUAUUAUUGUGGGAAGACCGGGGAGGGGAGGAUGGCGCCCGGCUCUCGCCCUCACCUCAGUGUGCAGCCUCUCAGUGUAUUUCUCCAUGACCAGAGGGUCUGGAGCUUCCUGAGAAGGGGUAGUGCAGUCAGGGACAGGGUCUUCCACCAGAAGCCUGUCCUGACUCAAAGAUUUCAUCGGUUUCUUGUUAUCCUUUGCCUUGAGCUUCUUGCUGUUUAAACGUUCCUGCUUAGAGAGACAGAGACAUGCAUGGCCUUCAAGAGCUCCUGUGGGAGGUCCUGGACUUUCUCAAGAGCAGCUCACUGGGAGAGCUGGGGCAUCCUGUGGGGCUGAAGACGAGCAAGGAAAGAAGAUGGGAGAAAACACACAGCUUACUCUGCUGCGACGGCUCCCCAGACAGCAGCAGGGAGCUGUGGGGACUGCUGAGGCAGAUGUGCGGGCAUAGAGUGUCUGCAGCGUCUUCUAGCACCUGAGUUCAAGGGGAGUCCUGGGACUGCCUGCCCAGAACCCCUGGCCGGCUGCUAAAGGCAAGGAGGUGGAGCCAGCUCUGCUGGUGGGGUACCUACCAUGUCUGGUGCAGGAAGUCUGACUGCAACGGCCUCUGCUCCUGGUACAGCUCCAGGGUUGCUUUGUUGAGUCUGAUGAGGGCAUCUUCUCUCUGGUUCUCCUCAGGAAGUGCCAUCAUUGCCUGUAGGAUCACAGGUACCACAGGCAACUGUUCUGUCCAGCAUACCAAGGAUCCAUGUCCUCUAGUGAUGGACACGGUGUGGUGAGGACAGGUGGCCAGGAGGGGCUGCAGUCAUGGAGAAUCUGUUUGGGGUGCCUUCCGUGGGAGCCUGGGACCUCCCCCAGAAAUCUGUACCCCUGACCCCCUCCUCCAAGGUUUGCCAGAGUCAGAGCAGAAGCUUCUCCUGCACUGGCCUAGGCACCUGAGACAAAGAUGAUGCAAGAGAUUGCCUUCUCUGCGCCCUCAGGUUUGUCUCCUUUUCCACAGGGGCAUGUGGGGCUGUGGGGGCUCUCCCUUGGCUGGUGCAGGAGCACUGGCACUAUGCUAAGGCCACUCCACCAACCCCUUCUGAGUCAGGGGAGCACCUUUCUGAAGGUCUCCAGGCAGAGGUUCCACUCAGGUGGCAGCAGGCCAUCCAGCUCCCAGGGACUCUUGGCCCUCUCCAGGUCUGGGCUCCCCUCCACCAGGAUCUCCUCCAUGACGCUCUUCCACUGAGAACCCUUGACCCCCAUUCCAGGCUUCUGGGACCUGAAAGAAUCUUGGGAGUCGCUGAGGGCCUCAUUAUCCUGCCCAGGCAGCUGGGUUUCCAAGACUGGGCUCUUACAGUGCGCCACAGAAGGCUUGACGUUCACUGAGGCCUUCUCCAGAUAGGCCGACUGGGCCAUGGCAGCCCUGGGCCUGGGGCUCACGUGCUCCUCCUCAUCUGGCCUGGCCUCCUCGGCCUUGGCAGGCAACAUCACAUACUGGCGCCACAGCCCAUGCAGGUUCUGCACCACUUGGUGCUGGUAAUACAGCUGCAGCAGAGGGCUGCUCUGAGGAGAAAGUGAGUUACUGGUGGAAGAUGCUCAGAACAGGUCCUGGCACGUUGAAGUGUUUGUUACCACUUUCACCCCGGGCACAUCUGAUGGGGCAGGAGCCGGUACGGGACCUGUACCUGAGGAUUCCUGUGGUGGAACAAGUCCUCCUCCGUGAGGUCUUGGAAAGAGUCCAGCUGGGACUGCCGUCGCCAGUCAUACCAAAUGGCCACCGUGCCAUUAUUGACCACGGUCAGUUCUGAAGACGUUUUCUCCCCUUCUAGAGUUUCAAAGGUCAAGCGGACAGCGAUUCCAACAUGCUUCUAGGGAAGGAAGAGAUAUGAGAAAUGUCUUUGAGGGAGGUUCUGGCCUAGGAUGACCAACAUCCCAGUUUGCCAGGGGCUUUUCUGGGUGCAGCACAAAAGCCCUGUGUUGCAGGCCUCCAGAGCCUGGCCUCCCUCAUACAGAGUGGUGUCAUACCCAGAUACCACUGGGUACGUGGCUGUGUCUGAGGUUGCCAUCAAUGGUAAUAUGAGAUAAAACUGAUUUUACAUCUGAUGAACAUUUCUGGUCCUUAGCAACUGAAGAAUAUUUUAGAACCUUCUUAAAGCCAUACCUGUUUGAGAAGAUUUGCUUAAUUUACAUGCUUGGGGGCUAGUACAAAGAGGGUGGCUUGUGACACUCUUUUCAGCCUUGUGAUUUUACUCUGGCUCAAGUUAGUGUCACUGUUACCAUUUUCAGACAUGCUAAAUACAUGACCAGAUAAAAACGCAAAUAGGUGGCCAUGCAAGCUCCUUGUGACUGCUGUGGUCCCCCAGCACUGCACCCGAGGGAGGCCCUACCAGCAGGUGAGUGAGGGUGAAGCCAGUUUUACCUUGUCCUGUGGGUUACUGCCUCUGAUCCAGCGAGCUGGUUUCCCACAGAAAAGCAGAGAAGGGCCAAGAACAGGCAUGGGAACCGCAUCAGGGCAGCUGGCUAAUAAAUCUCUGUAAGAAAAACCAGUGACUUAUUUUCCCUGAGGCUGCCCCAGUCAUUGCCACAUGGCCUAUGGAAAUAGCUGCCAGGAUGUCUGGAGAAGUGCCCGUUUCUGGCCGCCAGUGGAGUAUUGUCAGCUCCACUUGCGCUCAGCUUCACCCUGCUCUGUUCCUAUAGGUGGGAGCUUCUUAGAUGUACAGACUCUUUACACACAGCCAUCAGUGUGCACAGCACUGGGAGGGUCUGGGGGGGACAUUUACCAUUGAGGACCGUCUGGGAGAUACCCAUGAGGAGCUGGUUGCUGGAAGGAAGCGGAGGGUCAUAGAAAAGCUAACACAGGACCCAAGCCCAACUCACAAGCUCAGCGUGUCCUCAGCGGGGCUUUCUUGGCUGCUUUCAAACACUGAAUAGUCUUCCACUUCAACUGUCGAGAAAGCCUGCCCUCUGCCCACCACCUCCAGGCCAUCAAUAUCCUCAGAAAGAGGGAGAAAGGCAAGAUUAGCUGACUGAACACAGGCACCACCCUAAGGGGCUCCUGGGCAUGGGAGCAUUACCAACCUGCUGACUGAAACCCAGCUCUGCCAUGAUGCUCUGCAGCUCCUUGCGCCGGUAGACCAGAAACAGACUCCGAUCCCACGUGUAGCGGUACCAAGCAUCUUUCUGGAACUUCAAUCCUAGAGCAGGGUCCCAGGGUGCUCAGCACAGGCUGCUGCCCUGCCCCUUCCUACCCACUCUCAAGGGCUCUGACAGUGCCCAUCCCAGCGUUAUUUCUGAGAAAGGUGUAAAUACAGCUUCCCUCAUCAACAGGGUGCCCAUACUCUUGCCCCACAGCUACUGUUUAGCAGCCCUAUGUUAGGCCUCUUGCAAAAUUAGCUUCCAAACCGCCAAACUUUGGAUUAUAAUAAAAAUAACAAUAGCAGCUACCUUUCACGGAGUGUGUGACAAUGGACCAGAACCUCUUAAUGCACAUCAGUGUCUCCUUUAACCCUCUUAUGAGCUCUUAUGGGGAAACUGAGGGCCAGAGAGGUUAAGCAACUUGCUGGAGUUCACAAAUACAACACAGCUGGGAUCUGAACCCCCGAAGGCCAGCGUCUCUUAAAGUAGUGCCACCCAAGAGAAAUAUGCAAAUCACAAAUGGGAGCCACGUGUCUAACUUUAAAUUUUCUCAGCACUAUGUUUAGAAAGGCAAAAGGAAACAUGGAAUUUUAGUAAUGUAGCUGAAUCCAAUGUAUCGCAAAUACUAUUUCAACAUGUAAUCAAUAAAAAAAUUA